rnacentral:lncRNA from 1 species
CCACUGUUCACACGGACAGAGUCUCCCCUGUAUUUCCACGGCGUCGCAUAAGUACAAGAUACAUAAUAUAUGAUACAACCAUUAUAUAUGAAUAUACACACAUUCAUACACCAUUCACAUUCAGGUUUACAUUCAGAGUUUAUUCAUAAAUUCACAACUAUUAGUGUAAUUUGCUGGAUUUUUAAUAUAAAAGUAAGUUUAAUAAAAAUAGUGUAAGAUACUAUUUUGAUUGGACUUGUAGAAGUAAAAAAUAAGUCGAAAAUGACUUAUGCUGAAAUUGGAAUGAAAACAGAAGAUUUAGAAUUUUCUGUAAGAAACAGGGUUGAUAUUUUAGCAGAAAAUUCAUAGUGUUGGAAAAUUAUGAAAAUUUGAGAAAAUGUCGGAAUUAUUUUUCUGAUGCUAGAUUUAAAAUUUUAUAUCAUUCUGACAUCCGGAAAGUGAAAAACAAAAUUUGACUGCUAGAGAUUUUAGUCGGUAGAGGUUUCGGUGACAAAAAAUAGUUUAAAACUGAAAAGUUAAUAUUUCGUUCUACUUAUUAAUCUUAACUGAGCUUGACUGUCAAAUUUAAGUGCAAAUGGGCAUUUAGAAGAGCUCCGGCGAAAAAUAUCAGAUCUGAACUAAACUAAAGUGAGAAUAUUGAUG